rnacentral:rRNA from 1 species
CCUACGGGAGGCAGCAGUGAGGAAUAUUGGUCAAUGGACGAAAGUCUGAACCAGCCAUGCCGCGUGAAGGAUGACUGCCCUAUGGGUUUUAAACUUCUUUUAUAUGGAGCUAAAAUGUUCAACUUGUGGGAGUUUGUAUGUCCGAUCUAAAUAAGGAUGGGCUACCUCCGUGCCAGCAGCCGGGGUAAUCCGGAGGAGCCGAGUGUUAUCCGGGUUUAUUGGGUUGAAAGGGAGGGUAGGUGGAGUGUUAAGCAAGGGGUGAAAGUUGGCGGCUAAACAGGAAAAUUGCAGUUGAAACUGGCAGUCUUGAGGACAGAAGCGGUGGGCGGAAUGCGUGGUGUAGCGGUGAAAUGCAUAGAUAUCACGAAGAACACCGAUUGCGAAGGCAGCUCACGGGACUGCAACUGACACUGAGGCACGAAAGCGUGGGUAUCAAACAGGAUUAGAUACCCCAGUAGUC